UGGAUUUUGAAAAAAACAGCUUGUUGUGGAAACAAGGAUUGGUGAGAAACCUUCGGUGGAGACACCUUUUUCUCAUGAUAACUCUUUCAAGAUUUCCUCACAGGAACAUUUAGGAGAGAGCUUCAAUCAAGUUGAACCAUCCGAAAGGGGAGGAAAUAAAUGGUGAG
rnacentral:lncRNA from 11 species